rnacentral:piRNA from 1 species
CACUGAAGAAAGGAACUGGAAAACUCUCAA